CUACCACCACUAAUUUGUUUUCAUACCACUACGCUUUGUAAAAAAAAAAAUAGCUUUUAGUCAUGCCCUUAUAUCCUUACUUCUCUCUGCACAACCAAAGUUGGAAUUCAUAGAAGCCUUUAAGCUCCAAGAGUAGUAUCAAAGUAAGGGAGAGCGUGGGAAACCUAGGGCGUAAAGUUAGAGUGAAGAUUGUGCUUCGAGGGCUUUGUGACCAGGGGGAUUAGCGCUGCUUUCCCAAGACAGGUUUUUAUGUGUAUGAUCUUCAGGCUUUGCCUAUUCAGGUGGGCUUACUUUCCAAAUGUACAAAGUAUGAUUGAGUUAUUAAGCUCUAAAUGUUUCAAUAAAAUGCAAAUUAUUUAUUUAAUGUAAUGAAAACUGUUUAUCCAAUAAAAUGUUUAUGUGCACUCUGCUCUGUUUAAGGCUCGCAAUUCAUGGAUCGAUCGAGGUUCUCUUAUGGCCUAACACGCUAUUUGAGAAUUGUGUACACUUGUUAGUUGUUUCGGUGGGUUGAUCUCCAUCGGGCACUAAUUCAUGUAAGAGGCGUUAUAAGGGUGCUUGGCUGGACGUGUUCCGGAGCAUGUAUCAUGUAAGGCCUGCCUGGGUAGCGUCCCGAGGUCAAUUCAACUUGUCUGAGUUACGUCCUCAGGGCAAGUGCAAUGGGAAAAAUGGAUCCGUCGGUGGCUAGAGGUCCGGGAUCACAGCGAGUAACAGAAAGGGAGUGUGACAUGUGCGCACAAAUGAAAGAAAAUGUUUUAACAUGCUUAGAAGUACUUCUUUCAAUUUAAAACCUUCUAAGUCAUGUCAAGUAUGAUUGGAUAAACUGUCUUUAUUAAAAUAUGAAAUGUUUCAGAAAAUGCAUGCCCACUAAGUACAUUAGUACUUAGCCCAAAAAUACUUUCAAAUGUUUUCAGGUUGGCUGGCCGGUGCUGACGGGACGGAGCUGAGGUUAGCGAUAAAUUCCUAUGUUAGACUUCCGCUGUAGCAAUUACUCAUAUCAGUCUUUUGUUUUUCCAACUUAAGAUCUUCAUGUUAAAUUUCAAAUGAUAUACCUGACCGAGCUUAGACUCUUCACUACUAAAUUUAUGCCAAUGAAUGUCGGUUGUCAGAAGCAUGAAACAAAACUUGUGAUCCAAAGGGGCAUAGCCCGACUUUCUAUCCUAUUUCGGGUUUUUACAAGGUUGUUCCUUGUUUAUUUCUAUGAAUUAGUUGCACCUCGAUUA